rnacentral:rRNA from 1 species
ACUAACUGGAGGACCGAACCGACUAAUGUUGAAAAAUUAGCGGAUGACUUGUGGCUGGGGGUGAAAGGCCAAUCAAACCGGGAGAUAGCUGGUUCUCCCCGAAAGCUAUUUAGGUAGCGCCUCGUGAAUUCAUCUUCGGGGGUAGAGCACUGUUUCGGCUAGGGGGUCAUCCCGACUUACCAACCCGAUGCAAACUACGAAUACCGAAGAAUGUUAUCACGGGAGACACACGGCGGGUGCUAACGUCCGUCGUGAAG